CAGCGACACUGUGCAGCCCCACAGCGACCCCUUGCGGGGAAGCGGCGCGCAGACCAUGUAGCGCGCCUUCCGCCUGCAGGACGCAUUGGGCCAGAGCCUUCUGGAGCUGCGCCGCCUUGCGGCCGGCAAGAGCUACCUAGGCUGAGGAACUUCCUUCUGCACCACUGUCUGGGCGCCUGGUCCUGGUGCUCAGGGAGCUGGGCUAGGACGUGACCAACCCGAGCAGGCUGGGGCAGGAUUGAGAACCGGCCAGCUGCCUGUGUGGCAGGCUCAGCAUGGAAGACGGCGAAAAAGAGGAGUGACCGUGGACUUUCUCCAGGGAGGGGAACACCGGGAUUCUUCCCAGAGGGGACAUUUCCCAGGCAAGAUGUAUCCACAGGCAGUGGCCAGGACUUUCAGCCUAAAAGACAAUAAUUUGAAGCUGAGGAAACUUCAGUUUGAGUAAAAAAGAAGAAAGUAGCUCAGAAAUUGAGGUAAACUUAAUUGAAAAAAAUCUAGUAACAUUUGUUUUGGUUAGUUUUGUGUUUGUGGCCCUGGUGGUUAAGCAUGAAGCCUUUGCCCCAGGCUGUGUCUCUGUUCCUUGUUUUGUUUUACUUUGUUUGUGUACAAUGUGAUGUCACUGCAGCCCCAGGAGAGCAGCCUUUCCUUGGGCAAUGAAGCACUUUGCCCCUACAGCCAAG
rnacentral:lncRNA from 1 species